rnacentral:rRNA from 1 species
CCUACGGGAGGCUGCAGUGGGGAAUAUUGGACAAUGGGCGAAAGCCUGAUCCAGCCAUGCCGCGUGUGUGAAGAAGGCCUUCGGGUUGUAAAGCACUUUCAGUGGGGAAGAAAGCCUUGGGGCUAAUACCCUCGAGGAAGGACAUCACCCACAGAAGAAGCACCGGCUAACUCCGUGCCAGCAGCCGCGGUAAUACGGAGGGUGCGAGCGUUAAUCGGAAUUACUGGGCGUAAAGCGCGCGUAGGCGGUCUGGUAAGCCGGUUGUGAAAGCCCCGGGCUCAACCUGGGAACGGCAUCCGGAACUGUCAGGCUAGAGUGCAGGAGAGGGAGGUAGAAUUCCCGGUGUAGCGGUGAAAUGCGUAGAGAUCGGGAGGAAUACCAGUGGCGAAGGCGGCCUUCUGGACUGACACUGACGCUGAGGUGCGAAAGCGUGGGUAGCAAACAGGAUUAGAUACCCCAGUAGUC